rnacentral:rRNA from 1 species
CACAAGCGGUGGAGCAUGUGGUUAAUUCGAAGCAACGCGAAGAACCUUACCAGGUCUUGACAUCCCGAUGCUAUUUCUAGAGAUAGAAGUUACUUCGGUACAUCGGUGACAGGUGGUGCAUGGUUGUCGUCAGCUCGUGUCGUGAGAUGUUGGGUUAAGUCCCGCAACGAGCGCAACCCCUAUUGUUAGUUGCCAUCAUUCAGUUGGGCACUCUAGCGAGACUGCCGGUAAUAAACCGGAGGAAGUGGGGAUGACGUCAAAUCAUCAUGCCCCUUAUGACCUGGGCUACACACGUGCUACAAUGGUUGGUACAACGAGUUGCGAGUCGGUGACGGCGAGCUAAUCUCUUAAAGCCAAUCUCAGUUCGGAUUGUAGGCUGCAACUCGCCUACAUGAAGUCGGAAUCGCUAGUAAUCGCGGAUCAGCACGCCGCGGUGAAUACGUUCCCGGGCCUU